GCGUGCCUAACACAUGCAAGUCGGAUGUGCCGCAAGGUGCAUGGCAGACGGGUGAGUAACGCGUGGGGAAUCUACCUUUUAGUGGGGAAUAACGCUCCGAAAGGAGUGGUAAUACCGCAUGAGACCGCAGCCUGGGAUGGUUGUGGUGAAACCUGGGGACCGGUAACGGCCUGGGGCUAAGAGAGGAUCCUGUGUCUGAUUAGCUAGUUGGCGGGGUAAUGGCCCACCAAGGCGACGAUCAGUAGCCGGCCUGAGAGGGUGAUCGGCCACACUGGAACUGAGACACGGUCCAGACUCCUACGGGAGGCAGCAGUGGGGAAUUUUGCGCAAUGGGCGAAAGCCUGACGCAGCAACGCCGCGUGGGUGAUGAAGGUCUUCGGACUGUAAAACCCUGUCGUCGGGGACGAAGGUUGUCGGUUGAAUAGACUGGCAGCUUGACGGUACCCGGAGAGGAAGCCCCGGCUAACUCUGUGCCAGCAGCCGCGGUAAUACAGAGGGGGCAAGCGUUAUUCGGAAUUAUUGGGCGUAAAGGGCGCGUAGGCGGUGUUUUAAGUGAGAUGUGCAAUCCCCGGGCUUAACCUGGGAACUGCAUCUCAGACUGGAACGCUGGAGUACUGGAGAGGGUGGUAGAAUUCCACGUGUAGCGGUGAAAUGCGUAGAGAUGUGGAGGAAUACCAGUGGCGAAGGCGGCCACCUGGACAGUAACUGACGCUGAGGCGCGAAAGUGUGGGUAGCAAACAGGAUUAGAUACCCUGGUAGUCCACGCUGUAAACGAUGAACACUUGGUGUGGCGGGAGUUGACCCCUGCCGUGCCGUAGCUAACGCGAUAAGUGUUCCGCCUGGGGAGUACGGUCGCAAGGCUGAA
rnacentral:rRNA from 1 species